GGCCGGUUGGCCCAAUGGUAAGGCGUCUGACUACGAAUCAGGAGAUUCUGGGUUCGAGCCCCAGGCUGGUCA
rnacentral:tRNA from 10 species